UACGAAGGGUGCAAGCGUUACUCGGAAUUACUGGGCGUAAAGCGUGCGUAGGUGGUUCGUUAAGUCUGAUGUGAAAGCCCUGGGCUCAACCUGGGAAUUGCAUUGGAUACUGGCGGGCUAGAGUACGGUAGAGGGUAGUGGAAUUCCUGGUGUAGCAGUGAAAUGCGUAGAGAUCAGGAGGAACAUCCGUGGCGAAGGCGACUACCUGGACCAGUACUGACACUGAGGCACGAAAGCGUGGGGAGCAAACAGGAUUAGAAACCCCAGUAGUCC
rnacentral:rRNA from 1 species